UACGAAGGGGGCUAGCGUUGCUCGGAAUCACUGGGCGUAAAGGGUGCGUAGGCGGGUCUUUAAGUCAGGGGUGAAAUCCUGGAGCUCAACUCCAGAACUGCCUUUGAUACUGAGGAUCUUGAGUUCGGGAGAGGUGAGUGGAACUGCGAGUGUAGAGGUGAAAAUUCGUAGAUAUUCGCAAGAACACCAGUGGCGAAGGCGGCUCACUGGCCCGAUACUGACGCUGAGGCACGAAAGCGUGGGGAGCAACAGGAUUAAGAAACC
rnacentral:rRNA from 1 species